rnacentral:piRNA from 1 species
CAGACGGAAUGCCUAGGAAGAGUGCGU